rnacentral:rRNA from 1 species
GGUUAAGUGACUAAGCGUACACGGUGGAUGCCUAGGCAGUCAGAGGCGAUGAAGGGCGUGCUAAUCUGCGAUAAGCGUCGGUAAGGUGAUAUGAACCGCAAUAACCGACGAUACCCGAAUGGGGAAACCCGGUGCACUUUGGUGCAUCAUUGCAACAUGAAUACAUAGUGUUGCAAGGCGAACCUGGGGAACUGAAACAUCUAAGUACCCAGAGGAAAAGAAAUCAACCGAGAUUCCCCCAGUAGCGGCGAGCGAACGGGGAACAGCCCAGAACCUGAAUCAGUUUGUGCAUUAGUGGAAGCGUCUGGAAAGUCGCAGGGUACAGGGUGAUACUCCCGUACACAAAAAUGCACUUGCUGUGAGUUCGAUGAGUAGGGCGGGACACGUGACAUCCUGUCUGAAUAUGGGGGGACCAUCCUCCAAGGCUAAAUACUCCUGACUGACCGAUAGUGAACCAGUACCGUGAGGGAAAGGCGAAAAGAACCCCGGCGAGGGGAGUGAAACAGAACCUGAAACCGUGUACGUACAAGCAGUGGGAGCACCUUCGUGGUGUGACUGCGUACCUUUUGUAUAAUGGGUCAGCGACUUAUAUUCUGUAGCAAGGUUAACCGUAUAGGGGAGCCGAAGGGAAACCGAGUCUUAACUGGGCGUUAAGUUGCAGGGUAUAGACCCGAAACCCGGUGAUCUAGCCAUGGGCAGGUUGAAGGUUGGGUAACACUAACUGGAGGACCGAACCGACUAAUGUUGAAAAAUUAGCGGAUGACUUGUGGCUGGGGGUGAAAGGCCAAUCAAACCGGGAGAUAGCUGGUUCUCCCCGAAAGCUAUUUAGGUAGCGCCUCGUGAACUCAUCUUCGGGGGUAGAGCACUGUUUCGGCUAGGGGGCCAUCCCGGCUUACCAACCCGAUGCAAACUGCGAAUACCGAAGAAUGUUAUCACGGGAGACACACGGCGGGUGCUAACGUCCGUCGUGAAGAGGGAAACAACCCAGACCGCCAGCUAAGGUCCCAAAGUCAUGGUUAAGUGGGAAACGAUGUGGGAAGGCACAGACAGCCAGGAUGUUGGCUUAGAAGCAGCCAUCAUUUAAAGAAAGCGUAAUAGCUCACUGGUCGAGUCGGCCUGCGCGGAAGAUGUAACGGGGCUAAACCAUGCACCGAAGCUGCGGCAGCGACGCUUAUGCGUUGUUGGGUAGGGGAGCGUUCUGUAAGCCGUCGAAGGUGGCCUGUGAGGGCUGCUGGAGGUAUCAGAAGUGCGAAUGCUGACAUAAGUAACGAUAAAGCGGGUGAAAAGCCCGCUCGCCGGAAGACCAAGGGUUCCUGUCCAACGUUAAUCGGGGCAGGGUGAGUCGACCCCUAAGGCGAGGCCGAAAGGCGUAGUCGAUGGGAAACAGGUUAAUAUUCCUGUACUCGGUGUUACUGCGAAGGGGGGACGGAGAAGGCUAUGUUAGCCGGGCGACGGUUGUCCCGGUUUAAGCAUGUAGGCGGAGAGUUUAGGUAAAUCCGGACUCUUUUAACGCUGAGGUGUGAUGACGAGGCACUACGGUGCUGAAGUAACAAAUGCCCUGCUUCCAGGAAAAGCCUCUAAGCAUCAGGUAACACAGAAUCGUACCCCAAACCGACACAGGUGGUCAGGUAGAGAAUACCAAGGCGCUUGAGAGAACUCGGGUGAAGGAACUAGGCAAAAUGGUGCCGUAACUUCGGGAGAAGGCACGCUGGCGCGUAGGUGAAGGGACUUGCUCCCGGAGCUGAAGCCAGUCGAAGAUACCAGCUGGCUGCAACUGUUUAUUAAAAACACAGCACUGUGCAAACACGAAAGUGGACGUAUACGGUGUGACGCCUGCCCGGUGCCGGAAGGUUAAUUGAUGGGGUUAUCCGCAAGGAGAAGCUCUUGAUCGAAGCCCCGGUAAACGGCGGCCGUAACUAUAACGGUCCUAAGGUAGCGAAAUUCCUUGUCGGGUAAGUUCCGACCUGCACGAAUGGCGUAAUGAUGGCCAGGCUGUCUCCACCCGAGACUCAGUGAAAUUGAACUCGCUGUGAAGAUGCAGUGUACCCGCGGCAAGACGGAAAGACCCCGUGAACCUUUACUAUAGCUUGACACUGAAUAUUGAACCUUGAUGUGUAGGAUAGGUGGGAGGCUUUGAAGCGUGGACGCCAGUCUGCGUGGAGCCAACCUUGAAAUACCACCCUUUAACGUUUGAUGUUCUAACCUGGCGCCGUGAUCCGGCGUGGGGACAGUGUCUGGUGGGUAGUUUGACUGGGGCGGUCUCCUCCUAAAGAGUAACGGAGGAGCACGAAGGUUAGCUAAUCACGGUCGGACAUCGUGAGGUUAGUGCAAUGGCAUAAGCUAGCUUGACUGCGAGAGUGACGGCUCGAGCAGGUGCGAAAGCAGGUCAUAGUGAUCCGGUGGUUCUGAAUGGAAGGGCCAUCGCUCAACGGAUAAAAGGUACUCCGGGGAUAACAGGCUGAUACCGCCCAAGAGUUCAUAUCGACGGCGGUGUUUGGCACCUCGAUGUCGGCUCAUCACAUCCUGGGGCUGAAGUAGGUCCCAAGGGUACGGCUGUUCGCCGUUUAAAGUGGUACGCGAGCUGGGUUUAGAACGUCGUGAGACAGUUCGGUCCCUAUCUGCCGUGGGCGCUGGAAGAUUGAGAGGGGUUGCUCCUAGUACGAGAGGACCGGAGUGAACGCACCACUGGUGUUCGGGUUGUCAUGCCAAUGGCAUUGCCCGGUAGCUAAGUGCGGAAAAGAUAAGCGCUGAAAGCAUCUAAGCGCGAAACUUGCCUCGAGAUGAAUCUUCCCUGGGCCUUUAAGGCCCCUGAAGGGACGUUGAAGACUACGACGUUGAUAGGCCGGGUGUGUAAGCGCAGCGAUGCGUUGAGCUAACCGGUACUAAUGACCCGUGAGGCUUAACCUUACAACACCAGAAGCGUUCUG